GUCUACAGCCAUACCACCCUGAAUGGACCUGACCUCAUCUGAUCUCAGAAGCUAAACAGGACUGGGCCUGGAUAAUACUUGAGUGGGAGACCUCCUGGGAAUACUACGAACUUUGAAAACA
rnacentral:rRNA from 1 species